rnacentral:rRNA from 1 species
UACGUAGGGUGCGAGCGUUAAUCGGAAUUACUGGGCGUAAAGCGUGCGCAGGCGGUUCGUUAAGUCAGAUGUGAAAGCCCCGGGCUCAACCUGGGAACUGCAUUUGAAACUGGCGGGCUUGAGUAUGGCAGAGGGGGGUGGAAUUCCGCGUGUAGCAGUGAAAUGCGUAGAGAUGCGGAGGAACACCGAUGGCGAAGGCAGCCCCCUGGGCCAAUACUGACGCUCAGGCACGAAAGCGUGGGGAGCAAAC